GGCAAAGCGACUGCCGCAGCUCCCGCUUCACAAAUGGGAUGAAGCCAUGUCUGAGCCGCGCGAAGUGUUUACUUAUAGAGCCGUAGCUCCCACAUGGAGGUCACGGCGCCAACCGGAUCUCGCGAGAUCCUCUCCGGGCUCCGCCUUAAAGAGGAAACAGCCCCGGAGGCUGCUAUAGACUUGAGGCAACUAAAAGGAGACGGCGUCGAGAAGGCGGGGCUGUGGGGCGAGACUGACAAGAGCCGUUACUUGCUCCUCCGCCUGCACCUGGUCACGGACACGCCCUCUAGCCUCAGAGUUUCGGGCCGUUACGGUUCCGCCCACACGGGUUACCCUUUUGGAUCCUGGUUUCCGGGCUGAGAAGGCGGGAGGCCACGCAGGCCUAGCGGGCACUGUACUCUGAGCUCAAAAACAUACCAAAAAUAAGAAAACCCUGACGGGCGUGGCCUAAGUUCCUGAGAAAGCAAAGGAAGUCGCGUUGGUAGCUCAAACAGGGCCCCGGGGCCGCCUCUGCUUCGCGAACACGUUUCCUAUCCGGCCCAAAUGGUGCCUUCGCACAGAAACCCGCUUCCUGGGGUUUCCCGCCGCUAGACGGAGGUGGAGGCCGCAGGUCCACAGGCCGCAGGUCCUGCAGGUAUCGUCGCCUCGGGCCUCCAGGCUUCCACACGGACUUCCGGCCCGGAGACCCGCGCGCUAUAGAGGCCCGGGGCGCCCUGACCAGACAUUUUCACUUGUGGGCUUUCCGUGUUAGGUGUACCUUUGACUUAAAAGAUUACGGGCUCAUAGAAAGUACCGUUUUAAAAGAUAAAAAAGUGCACUGGGCCGAAGAAAGGACUCCAAAGAUCUUCUUAGGAAUAAUCUCAAAUAUAGGUCCAACAUUACAUUACCUAACCGGGGUCUUAAAGUGAAAAGAGGCCUUCGUGGAAAGGACAGAACAUAGAAGGUACAAGACAAAACAACAUGGACUUUAUAUUUGCCAAAAUCGAUAAUUUGACUGACGCCAGUUCUAAUUAUUACCAUAAAGAUGGAGCAACAUUUUUGUAGAGUUGUAACAAAGCCGGUGGUAUUAUUAAAAAGAUGUCCCAAGGCAGGAGAAACAGAUAAAACGGAUUUUGUAUAAAUAUUUAGGGUCUCUGCCCUUGCUGAAAUUUUCUCAUUUACCUCUAAAUAUAAUUAAUUUUAUUUCAGUAAAGCAAAUAUUGAGAUCUUCAUUACAUAUGUAAAUGAGGCAAUGCGCCUAAAACACUGAGGACCUCCCCUCAUAAAGGAUAGCUAUUUGCUAUUAAGGUUAUGCCAUUCCCUUUGUGGACCCAAAUUGGGAAAUUGUUUUUAAAAUCCCUGCCCAUAAAGAACUUACAGUCUAGUUUAAGAUUUAGAAAAAAAUUAAAAAAUAAUUUAGUACUGAACAGUGUGAUAUUGAUUAAAACAGAAUUAGAAAUGAGUGAAGGGAGACUAAAAUGAUCUGAGAGCUUACGGGUAGAGAUGCAACUUGCCCGCGUUAGACUGGAGGCAGCAUUUAGAUGUUCAGUUUAUGAAUUAAGACAGACCUGAGUUGUAAUCUGUUUUGCUGCUUACUAUAAAUGUGAUUUUGGACAAAUUAUGCACUUCAGUAUCCUCAGUGUAAACUGGUGCCUAAAAUACCCAAUGAAUGUAAAACAAUAAAUUAUUUUACUUCUAUAAUUGUAAAGAGGAUUUAGAUCAGCAGACACUGCCGGAAGAGGAGAGAGUACUUAAGCAAAGACAGAAAGCAGGAAGGAAUAUGCAUUUUCACAGGUCAGAAGAGAUUACAUUAUCAGGAUGAAAUAAAGGGCUGAGUGCGAAGAUUACCGUUCAGAGCAGUAAAUUUUGUGGACCCCAGGGAGAAAGUAAAGGUUCUAAGAAGUUGAGCACCUCAAAACUAGGACUAUUUAUGAAGAAAGGAUGGAAAAAAAUCAAGGAUUAUGGCCU